ensembl:lincRNA
GGGUUCGGGACGGCGAGCGCGGCCCUGACGGGCCCUCCGGGUCAGGAGCCGGGGACCGGCCGGCGCGGGCAGCCCGGGCGGGAGGCCGUGCAGGGAGAUCCGCCGGCGCCUCGGAGCCGCGCGGGAAGGAGCAGCUGCGGCCGGAAUCCGACCGGGACGGAACGAGACUUCGUUGGACGGGACACGUCGAGGACGAAAUGAAGGGUCCGGGGUUCGGCAGCCGCAGCAGAGCGGGAGUCCGGCCGAGGAGACUCCGAACUGAGGUGCUCCGGGGGCGUGGGGGGCCUCCUCCCUCCGUCACCCUGGCGCGGAUGACGUUGUAAGCGAUGCAGUCGUCUGCUGUCUUCCCCCAUGAAGAGAUCUCAUUCGUCAGACACUGGGAUUGAGAAAGUCACCUUCUAGCGGAGAAGUGGGCCGGAAACACGAUCCUUUGAAAGCAGAGUCGGAGGAGCCGCUCUCGGGCCAGCGCGUCACUCCCGCCUGCGGCCUCUGCGCGACGGGCUCUGCGCGACGGGCGCGCUGUGCCUCCUGCCAUGCGGGGGUCGUCUGCUGCUCGUCCUUGUGGCUCCGCUCCGUCCCGCAUGUUGAAUCUGUGUGUUUAUUACGAGGUUUGCAAGUUGAGGAUUGGAAAGCAGCCUCAAGUGUGAUGUAGGGCAAGGAUCUUUGGAAAGGGAUCUUUCAAGUGUUGGUCACUCCUGCGACUUCUCCCAUUUCCUGGAGAGGUUCAGGCUCACUCAGUGGCUUCAACCACAGCCAACCUCAGCCAACCAAGCGGGUAUUCAGCUCUUCCCAGCGGAGACACUCCUCAUGGGCGCUGUCCCAAGCCUGCCAGAUAAUGAGGUCUGGAGGCUACAAGUCCAAGAACAAGAUGUCAGCAGAGUUGGUUCCUUUGAAGGUCUGUGAAGGACAAAUGUGUUCCAGUGCCUCUCUCUUAUCUUCCGGUGGUCUGCUGGCAAUCUUCGGUGUUCCUCGGCUUUUGAAGUGUCACCGUGAUGUCCGCCUUUAUCUUCACAUGCUGAAAGAACAAAACAAAACAAAAACAAAAACAAACCAAAAUAACCCCCAAACCAACAGCUUUUUUAAAGCUGAGAGCCAUGGAGGAUGUGAAGCCCUGAAUCUACCUUUCGGGUCGUUUGCUUCUGGACAGCACCCCCAAAUGCCUUCAGUUAAGCAGAUGCAUGUGAAGUGGGAAGAGUUUGAAGUAAUGUGAACACAUAUAUUUUUGCCUGAAAAGCUAAGAGUCCUGAGGACAUUGUAAAUUGUUGAGUGUGUAUUUAAGUCAGCAUCACAACCCUUUACAGUGGUUGCUUCUUUGGAAAAAAAAUUUCCUUUCCUUGUAUGGUGCGAAUUUUUUGGUAUGUGUUUGGAGAUAAGUUAUUUUUGUUCGGUCUGAGGAAUAGGCUGAAACUGGUCCUCAGUCGAGUAACUGUGGAUCUUUGUAGAACUUGUGAAGCAUUGCGCAAUACGAAUAAACAGGCUAUACCGCCCCACUAAUCUGCUUAUGUAAGUUGCUAAGACAAAGUGUUUAUAAUGCAUUGCUAAAGCCAUUUUACGGCUAAUAUAUUGAAGAUUCAUGUCCACUCCACUGGCCAACACAUUAAGUAAGACAUAAACAGAAAAGUGGGUAUGAAAUCAAUGACACGAGACUAUGGAACUGUACAGAGCAGCUGGAGACAAGCUGUCCCUUCAUGCACAGCUGAGAUUUUACCCGAGGGUUCCCAAGAAGAAGUGGGUCAUUUCGUACCGAGUAACUGUUAGAUGCAUCCUUGCUCUAGGGGUAGGAUAAAUAGCUUGUGUUGGGGAAAGUCCUUAAGUUUGGACGCAGACACUGCAUUGCUGGCUGGUCACAUAUCUUUUAAUAAAGUGCCGCAUUGCUAAAUAUGCCCGGACGUAACUACUCUCACCACUUGAAAUACCUUAUUAACUGAGGCAAACAGGCUCAAAAAUAUAGAGACACUGAAACAGAAGUCUCUGGGAAAGUCCAGCAGAAUGACCCCAGGCUUUCGGGUUUCUGUAAAAAUCCAUUUGGACUAGACUCGGCCCUUUUCAGUCUAUACAGGACUACUGAUGCCCUUGCGCAAAGUACUAUUUAAACCCAAAUUAUGUUUGGAUAAUAAUGAAUGUUGGAUUAUUAUGCUCAGAUGUAAAUUUCCAGUUGGGUAAGUGGCCUGAACCAUACCCAGUGACUUUUGUUAUUUAUUUUCUUUUCCCCAAAGGAAAACAUCAUGUGAAAUGGCUCACUUUGAAUUUGGAAAAUAAAGAAUGGCGAAGGGGAACUGAAACCAUGAUUUUUUUUCCCUCUGAGCCAUAGCUAUUGUGCUUGGAACUUAGGUUAUGGGCAUAUUAAUACUAUGUCUAAUCUCCUGAUUGAGCUUGAGCCUGCUACAUAAAAGUAGGGAUCACAUCUGUUUUAUUUACCAGUGUUCAUUAUAAUGAUUUCCGUACUAUCUGGCACAAGAUAUGGGCUUUCCCUCCAAAGAAGCUUUUUAUUGAGGUAUAAUUUACAUAAUAACAAAAUAUGUACGUUUUGAGAGUACAUUUUGAUGGAUUUGACAAAUUCAUACAUCUGUGUGGCUACCACCCCAGUCAAGGUAUAAAUGUUUCACCACUCCAGAAAGUACCUUCAUGCCUCUUUCCAGUCAACACUCCCCCACCCCCAAUCCAAGCAGCAACUCUCCUGAUUUCUUUCAGUCUUGAGUUAAUUUUGUCUGUAGUAACAACAAUGUAGUGUGUAUUCCUGCACACACUAUUACUGCAUAAUAGCAUGUUCCUUUUUAUCUUAAAUAGUACUGCAAUGUAUGAAUGUGCCACAAGUUUUUAAUCAAUUCAUUUGUUGGUGAACCUUUGGUAUAUCUCUAGUUUAGUUUGGGAUUAUAAUGAACACAUCUACUAAAAACACUCUUGGGGCGCUUGUGGCUCAGUUGGUUAAGCGACUGCCUUUGGCUCAGGUCAUGAUCCUGGAGUUCUGGGAUCGAGUCCUGCAUCAUGCUCCCGGCUCCCUGAGGAGUCUGCUUCUCCCUCUGACCUUUUCCCCUCUCCAUGCUCUCUCUCACUCUUCUCAAAUAAAGAAAUAAAAUCUUAAAAAAAAAAAAAAAAAACCUCUUGUACAGUUUAUUUUAAAAAUUAUUUAUUUAUUUUAGAGGGGAAGAGAGUACAUGUGGGUGCCUACCAGGGCAGGAGGAAGAGCAGAGGGGGCGGAGACAGAGGGGGAAGAAGUCUUAAGCAGACUUGCACUGAGCACAGAGUCAGGGGGAUCCGUCUCAGGACGCAGACGCCCUCACCCUGAGAUCAGGACCUGAGCCAAAACCAACAGCUGGAGGAUUACCUGACUGAGCCACCCAGACACCCCGCUCCUACAAAUCUUGUUUUGAAAAUAUGUUUUAUUUCUCUGGAGUAAAUAUUGAGGCAUGAAAUUGCUAGAUAAUUUGGUAGUUAUAUAUUCUACUUUGUAACACACUUCCAAGCAUUUUCCUGAAAUGGCUGAUAAUUCUAUGCUAUCAGUAAUGUAUGAAUGAGAGAUGUAGUGAUGCUACACUCUCACCAAGAGCUGUAUUUUAAAUCUUUUAAAUUUUAGCCAUUCUUUAGGACAAAAAUGUUGAUCUCAUCAUGGUUUUAAUAUACAUUUUCCAUUGACUGAUGAUAUUGAGCAACUUUUAUGUAUUUAUUGUUUAUUCAUGUAUCUUUCUUUGUGACGUGACUAUUAAGGUUUG